rnacentral:rRNA from 1 species
CCUACGGGAGGCAGCAGUAGGGAAUCUUCCACAAUGGGCGCAAGCCUGAUGGAGCAACACCGCGUGAGUGAAGAAGGGUUUCGGCUCGUAAAGCUCUGUUGUUGGAGAAGAACGUGCGUGAGAGUAACUGUUCACGCAGUGACGGUAUCCAACCAGAAAGUCACGGCUAACUACGUGCCAGCAGCCGCGGUAAUACGUAGGUGGCAAGCGUUAUCCGGAUUUAUUGGGCGUAAAGCGAGCGCAGGCGGUUGCUUAGGUCUGAUGUGAAAGCCUUCGGCUUAACCGAAGAAGGGCAUCGGAAACCGGGCGACUUGAGUGCAGAAGAGGACAGUGGAACUCCAUGUGUAGCGGUGGAAUGCGUAGAUAUAUGGAAGAACACCAGUGGCGAAGGCGGCUGUCUGGUCUGCAACUGACGCUGAGGCUCGAAAGCAUGGGUAGCGAACAGGAUUAGAUACCCCAGUAGUC